rnacentral:tRNA from 1 species
ACUGCUGCCUGGUCUUCGCUGGGGACUUCAACUCCUUGGGCGACUCG